ACCUGCCUUUCCCCACCGCCUCCUGCCUGAGCCCAGGCCUGCUGGCUUUGCCUGAGGCUCUCUGGGGGCCCUGCAGGCCACCUGCCUGGAGGAAGAGGAGGGAUGCACCACACUGGUUUCACAGCCUUUCUUGAUUUGGGAUGAGGCUGCCAGAAGUCCCACGCUUCAAUACUGCCCUGCUUGCUGUUUUCCUACAGCCGAGCAGUCCAGGGGGACUCGAUGCCCACCUCCAGCGUGCACAGGCCCCUCCUCCAGCGUGCACAGGCCCCUCCUCCAGCGUGCACAGGCCCCUCCUCCAGCGUGCACAGGCCCCUCCUCUUGGGCAAUCUGCACUGCUUCCUCCACUUCUCAGCUGCUUCCUCACCUUAGGAAGAGCCCUGUCUUCCCUCCACCAUGGCCUGGGACUGUCCAGGGGUGUAGCUGGGUCUAGAUUGUGAAGCACUGUGAAGGCUUCUCUGGGUUUUCUCACAACUGUACUGUGCAGGCUAGUUUUUGUCAACUGGAUACAGAUAGGGUCUGAAGACAUAAACUCAAUUAAGAAAAUGCAUCUACUGGAGUGCCCGCAGGCAGGUCUGUGGGCCACAGUCUCGAUUCAUAGUUGAUGUUGGAGGGUCCUGCUUAUCGGAAGUUAUGCCAUCCCUGGAAAGGU